AUUGAACGCUGGCGGCAGGCCUAACACAUGCAAGUCGAGCGAGUGGCGGACGGGUGAGUAAUGUCUGGGGAACUGCCCGAUGGAGGGGGAUAACUACUGGAAACGGUAGCUAAUACCGCCUACCAUCGGAUGAUCCCAGAUGGGAUUAGCUGGUAGGUGGGGUAACGGCUCACCAAGGCGACGAUCCCUAGCUGGUCUGAGAGGAUGACCAGCCACACUGGGACUGAGACACGGUCCAGACUCCUACGGGAGGCAGCAGGGGGGAAUAUUCCACAAUGGGCGAAAGCCUGACGCAGCCAUGCCGCGUGUAUGAAGAAGGCCUUCGGGUUGUAAAGUACUUUCAGCGGGGAGGCGUUACCCGCAGAAGAAGCACCGGCUAACGCCGUGCCAGCAGCCGCGGGAAAUC
rnacentral:rRNA from 1 species